rnacentral:rRNA from 1 species
UACGUAGGAGGCAAGCGUUGUCCGGAUUUACUGGGUGUAAAGGGCGUGUAGGCGGGUUAUCAAGUCAGAUGUGAAAUUCCAUGGCUCAACUGUGGCGCUGCAUCUGAAACUGAUGAUCUUGAGUGAUGGAGAGGAAAGCGCAAUUCCCAGUGUAGCGGUGAAAUGCGUAGAUAUUAGGAGGAACACCAGUGGCGAAGGCGGCUUUCUGGACAUUAACUGACGCUGAGGCGCGAAAGCGUGGGGAGCAAACAGG